CGGCUCAGGUGUUAGUUGUAGGCGGGGCCUCAGACGACAGCUUGGUCCACUAAUCGCAAAAGCAAUUAAUUUUAUUUUCUUAAACAAACAAACAAUUUGGUAAAUAUAUAACAUAUAAAUAUGAAUUGGUUUUAAAAAUUGAGGAUGUUUUAUUCUUAAUAACGUCACUGGCACGCGGGAAGUAUCCUGUUUGAGGCCUACUCGAUUAUUUAGUUUAUUACUUAGUAGCAUUUAGGCACAAAGACACAAUUUUUUAUGAUAGUCGGAUAAAUGUUGAAGUAAGAAGAUGAAAAUACCAAAAAAUGACGCUUUCUUCAGUUUCACUGUGGAAAGACCGCGGAGUGAAGUAUACACAGCAUGGUUUCUGUGGAUGGCCUGCGUGUCUUCAGCAGCGGCAGAAUCCUCUGAGGAACUGGCCUGACUCAUCUGCAUCUGUGACAGGUCAUGUCCAUGAGCUGGAGUGGAUAACCCGAAGCGCCCAAACCGGCCCACUAACACUCAAAUCUAUGUUUAAAGAUGCUGUCAGGUUUAAGAUGGAAAGGAAUCGCAUGGAAAAGUUGCUACCAAGUAAUUUCAGUGCAAGAAACAUUGUUUUGAAUCACCUGUGAUGAUGUGAUAAUGUGAAGGAAUAUCUGUAUUGUAUAAUAGGCUACCACUCAAAAGUUUGGAGUUAGUAAGGUUUUUUUUUUUUUUUUUAAUAAAUGUUUUUGAAAUAAGUCUUUUAUGCA
ensembl:lncRNA